rnacentral:rRNA from 1 species
ACCCGCUGAACUUAAGCAUAUCAGUAAGCGGAGGAAAAGAAACUAACUAGGAUUCCCCGAGUAGCGGCGAGCGAAAGGGGAGAAGCCCAGCGCCGAAGCCCGCGGCCUCUGGUCGCAGUGCAAUGUGGCGUUUCGGUGGCGGCUCGUCGCGGUUUCGUUGGCACGCGUACCUCUGAAUGGGUCUGCCCGCAGCGGGUGUCAGGCCUCUACUUGCCAAACGCGAAGCCGUGGCCCGCCGUCUCCGCGGAGUCGGGUUGCUUGAGAGUGCAGCCCAAAGUGGGUGGUAAGCUCCAUCUAAGGCUAAAUACCUAGUGCGAGACCGAUAGCAAACAAGUACCGUGAGGGAAAGUUGCAAAGAACUUUGAAAAGAGAGUUCAAGAGUACGUGAAACCGUUCAGAGGCAAACGGACGGAACUGGGCGAGUUCGUCGUCGUCAUUCAGCCGCGGCCUUCGGGCGGCGGUGCACUUGGCGGCGGCGAAGCGCGACGACCGCCUGUCGAGUCGUCAGAAGCCCGGCGGCAAGGUGGCGACGCGUUCGCGCGUCGUGUUACAGGCCGCCGCGGCGUUGGCAGACUUGGCGGGCGAGGAGCGCCUGCGGCGCACUCCCGCGUUCGCGCGGGAGCGGCCCGAUGCGGUGGACUCGCGGUUGCCGGCGGCGAACUGCUCGCAGUUUGCUGUCGCGCAUGCCGCUUGCCGCGCCGUCACGGUGUCGCGAUGCGCCCGGGGUCCGAGUCGCGUGGUUCCCGGCACUCCGUCCGACCCGUCUUGAAACACGGACCAAGGAGUUGAGCACGCGCGCAAGUCGAUGGGCUCCAAGAACCCCAGUGGCGCAGCUAAGGCAAAACGGGCGUGAUCCGGCACUGGCGUGUCGGCGCAACGCCGGCCCGCGGCUAACUCGUCGCGAGUGGCCGCGGCGCAAGAGCGCGUGUGCUCAGACCCGAAAGGUGGUGAACUAUGCUUGAGCAGGGCGAAGCCAGAGGAAACUCUGGUGGAGGCUCGCAGCGAUCCUGACGUGCAAAUCGGUCGUCAAACUUGAGCAUAGGGGCGAAAGACUAAUCGAACCGCCUAGUAGCUGGUUCCCUCCGAAGUUUCCCUCAGGAUAGCUGGCACUCGGGAUCAAUGGUUUUAUCCGGUAAAGCGAAUGAUUAGAGGCAUUGGGGACGAAACGUCCUCAACCUAUUCUCAAACUUUAAAUGGGUAAGAGGCGCGGCCCUUCCUGAUCGGGGCCGCGUGCUUGAACAGAGAGUGCCCAGUGGGCCGUUUUUGGUAAGCAGAACUGGCGCUGUGGGAUGAACCAAACGCGCGGUUAGGGUGCCUAACGUACGCUCAUGAGACACCACAAAAGGUGUUGGUUGAUAUAGACAGCAGGACGGUGGCCAUGGAAGUCGGAAUCCGCUAAGGAGUGUGUAACAACUCACCUGCCGAAUCAACUAGCCCUGAAAAUGGAUGGCGCUGGAGCGUGCGACCCAUACCGCGCCGUCGGGGCAACGCGUGCGAAAUGCCAGGCCCCGACGAGUAGGAGGGCGUGUCGGUGGCGUUGAAGCGUUGUGCGCGAGCACGCGUGGAGCCGCCUUCAGUGCAGAUCUUGGUGGUAGUAGCAAGUAUACAAAUGAGAACUUUGUAGACCGAAGUGGAGAAGGGUUCCAUGUGAACAGCAGUUGGACAUGGGUCAGUCGGCCCUAAGAGAUCGGACAAUUCCGUUCUGAACGGGGGAGUCGCGCACGACGUCUACUCGCAAAAAUCGUUUAGAGCGUCUUACCAAACCCAAAGUGCGUGUGACGGCCCCCGAUGCGAUCGAAAGGGAAUCGGGUUAAUAUUCCCGAACCUGGCAGCGGAGAUUGGGCCCUCGGGCCCCAGUGCGGUAACGCAACCGAACUCGGAGACGCCAGCGUCGAUCCCGGGAAGAGUUCUCUUUUCUUUGUUAGGAGCGGACUCCCUGGAAUUGGCUUGUCCAGAGAUAGGGACGUUGCAUCCGUAAAGCGUCGCGCCUCACGCGGCGUCCGGUGCAUCGGCGUUGGCCCUUGAAAAUCCGAGGGAGGCAGUGUAAUUUUCGCUCCAGGCCGUACCCGAAUCCGCAGCAGGUCUCCAAGGUGAACAGCCUCUGGUCGAUAGAACAAUGUAGGUAAGGGAAGUCGGCAAAUCCGAUCCGUAACUUCGGGAUAAGGAUUGGCUCUGAGGUGCGGGCUGCUUCGGGUCGCGGCAAGAAGCGGACCGCGCGUUGGCUGGACUGAGCGCGCCUCGCGCGCGUUCGGACCGCCGCCAGCGCGCGUCCGUGGGAGGCCGUGGCUUUCGCCGGCGCGGGCCUCGCGCUCGCGUCGGCUUCGUUCGGCCUAAACGCACAGCACAGAACUGGCACGGACUCUGGGAACACGACUGUCUAAUUAAAACAAAGCAUCGCGAUGGCCGCCGGGCGGUGUUGACGCGAUGUGAUUUCUGCCCAGUGCUUUGAAUGUCAAAGUGAAGAAAUUCAACCAAGCGCAGGUAAACGGCGGGAGUAACUAUGACUCUCUUAAGGUAGCCAAAUGCCUCGUCAUCUAAUUAGUGACGCGCAUGAAUGGAUUAACGAUGUUCCCACUGUCCCUAUCUACUAUCUAGCGAAACCACAGCCAAGGGAACGGGCUUGGCAAAUACAGCGGGGAAAG